CCUACGGGAGGCAGCAGUGGGGAAUAUUGCGCAAUGGGCGAAAGCCUGACGCAGCGCCGCCGCGUGAGGGAUGAAGGUCUUCGGAUCGGAAACCUCUGUCAGCAGGGAAGAACGGUCACUGUGCUAAUCAGCAGUGAAUUGACGGUCCCUGCUAAGGCAGCACCGGCUAACUCCGUGCCAGCAGCCGCGGUAAUACGGAGGGUGCGCGCGUUACUCGGAAUUACUGGGAGUAAAGCUCUCGUAGGCGGUAUGUCAAGUCAAGGGUGAAAUCCCCGCGCUCAACGGGGGAACUGCCUUUGAAACUGGCAAACUUGAGUGUGUGAGAGGAUAGUGGAAUUCCAGGUGUAGGAGUGAAAUCCGUAGAUAUCUGGAGGAACAUCAGUGGCGAAGGCGACUAUCUGGCACAUAACUGACGCUGAGGAGCGAAAGCGUGGGUAGCAAACAGGAUUAGAUACCCCGGUAGUC
rnacentral:rRNA from 1 species